ACAUUCGUCUCUUCACAGUAUUACUACUAAGACAGAGAUGUUCACUAAUGGUUGAGUACAAAAGGCCCAUCUUUGUUCUUCAUCUACACUGCAUUCUAAGAAUUCAAUUUAGCCAUGCUUCUAAUGAGCUUUUUGUCACCCGUUAAAGCGUACAUGGAGGAAGAGACCUCAACCAACGAGCCUGAACACUGUAAGCCAAGAAACUAUCGACAUAACCACAACACCAGGUACCAGUUUAGAGACAGAGCUUUCUCUUUCAGAUACGUCAGCAGUUCUAAACGACCUUCCCGUAAAACUUGAAGCCCCAAUUUCACCGGAGCCAACAGUGCUUGAGCCAACAGAGUCAAAUACUUUACACUUUUUUUCAAACUUAACAUCUAACCCUUCAGCACCAAAACGCAUAAGGAAGCCUACACAAAAAACUGAGACGAUAUUUAUUAUGAAUCAAAAGAGAAAAAGAAAACAUACAUUAAAACCUACACCCAAACUUGU
rnacentral:sRNA from 1 species